UUAUGGCUCAGGAUGAACGCUGGCGGCGUGCCUAAUACAUGCAAGUCGAACGAGAGUGCUUGCACUCUAGUGGCGAACGGGUGAGUAACACGUAGGUAACCUGCCUUACAGUUUGGGAUACCCUGGCGAAAGCUAGGCUAAUACCGAAUAAUUGGAUUGGAGGCAUCUCCGAUCUCUAAAAGGGGCCUUUAAAGCCUCGCUGAAUGAUGGACCUGCGGCGCAUUAGCUAGUUGGUGAGAUAACAGCCCACCAAGGCGAGGAUGCGUAGCCGACCUGAGAGGGUGAACGGCCACACUGGAACUGAGACACGGUCCAGACUCCUACGGGAGGCAGCAGUAGGGAGUUUUCGGCAAUGGGGGCAACCCUGACCGAGCAACGCCGCGUGAAUGAAUGAAGGUCUUCGGAUUGUAAAGUUCUGUUAUAAGGGAAAAAUGAUAUGGUGAGGAAAUGCUCCAUAUUUGAUGGUACCUUAUUAGAAAGCCACGGCUAACUACGUGCCAGCCGCGGC
rnacentral:rRNA from 1 species